rnacentral:rRNA from 1 species
AACGAACGCUGGCGGCAGGCCUAACACAUGCAAGUCGAGCGCGCCCUUCGGGGUGAGCGGCGGACGGGUGAGUAACGCGUGGGAACGUGCCCUUUUCUACGGAAUAGCCUCGGGAAACUGAGAGUAAUACCGUAUACGCCCUUUGGGGGAAAGAUUUAUCGGAAAAGGAUCGGCCCGCGUUGGAUUAGGUAGUUGGUGGGGUAAUGGCCUACCAAGCCGACGAUCCAUAGCUGGUUUGAGAGGAUGAUCAGCCACACUGGGACUGAGACACGGCCCAGACUCCUACGGGAGGCAGCAGUGGGGAAUCUUAGACAAUGGGGGCAACCAUGAUCUAGCCAUGCCGCGUGAGUGAUGAAGGCCUUAGGGUUGUAAAGCUCUUUCAGCUGGGAAGAUAAUGACGGUACCAGCAGAAGAAGCCCCGGCUAACUCCGUG